AGAGAGAGACAUGCGCGCAUAUCAAUAAGCGGAGGAAAAGAAACUAACAAGGAUUCCCUUAGUAACGGCGAGUGAAGCGGGAAGAGCUCAAAUUUGAAAUCUUCAAGGUCUUACCUUGACGAAUUGUAGUUUAAAGAAGUGUUUUCUGCUGAAGUUUUGGUAAAAGUUCUUUGGAAUAGGACAUCAUAGAGGGUGAGAAUCCCGUAUUUGACCAUUAUUUUCAGCUUUGUGAUACACUUUCAAAGAGUCGGAUUGUUUGGGAAUGCAGUCCAAAAUGGGUGGUAAAUUUCAUCUAAAGCUAAAUAUUGGCGAGAGACCGAUAGCGAACAAGUACCGUGAGGGAAAGAUGAAAAGAACUUUGAAAAGAGAGUUAAACAGUACGUGAAAUUGUCAAAAGGGAAGCGUUUGACACCAGUGUUGUUUUCUCGAAAAUCAAUUAAAAAUGGCUCGAUUUUGUAUUGCUGAGACCUUAAAAGCUCACUGUACAUUUUUCGUGUCCUUUUUAAUGCACUUUUCGUUUAACAAGUCAACAUCAGUUUCUUUUGUUGUAAAAGGGUCAUUGGAAGGUGGCUUUCUUUUCGGAGAAAGUGUUUAUAGCCUUUGGCCUCUGCAAUCGGAGAGACUGAGGUCUGCAGCGUAGACUCUUCGGGGUUAGAUACAUUUGUGCUAAGUUAUAGCUUUUCAUAGACGACUUGUUGACUAUGAUUAGUCAUUGUAGCUUACUCGCUUAUGCUAUUUUACCUACGCUUAGGAUGUUGAAGAUGUAGCACAUCAU
rnacentral:rRNA from 1 species